rnacentral:lncRNA from 1 species
UACAAUUUGAUGUUCUUAUAUAUGUUUAUAUUAUGUAAGUUAAAAACAAAUAAUUCUCAACCAAUUAUCACUUAUUUAAAGUACAAACAUGCAAAAGCUGUUUUUUUUAACUUUUUUUAAUCAAGGAGUAUACAAGGGUGGGCAUUUAGCUUAGCAGUUAAGAUGCAGGUGAAAAUGUAAAUAACACAGUAUUUAGAUUCCAUUCCUAACUGCAGUUCCUGAUUCCAGCUUCCUGCUAAUUCAGAUUCUAUAAGGCAGAAGUAUUGGCCCAAAUAAUUGUGUCUGUGUCACCGACGUGGAUGUCCUAGAUUGUGUCCCCAGCUCCCAGCUGGUGGGCAGUUCAGUGAAACAGCAGAUAGGAGUUCUUUCUGUUGAUCUCUCUUUCUAUCCUUCCAUUUCUGCUUCUCUCACCUCAAAUAAAUAAAAUUAUGUAUAUAAGUUGUAUACAAACAUACACAAUUAUUUCAAUAAAUGUAUUAUUAUUUAUAGAUAAAAGCACCAGAAUUUUAUUUAUCCAAUCUGGUCCUUGAAUGCAUAGAAAUUGAUUUAUAUUUUUUCAACUGCAAAGUUUCCACAUCCAUACACUUUCAGAAAUGACUUACUUUUUUUUUUUUUGACAGGUAGAGUGGACAGUGAGAGACAGAGACACAGAGAUAGGUCUUCCUUUUCUGUUGGUUCACCCUCCAAUGACCGCUGUGGCCAGCGCACUGCGCUGAUCCCAAGCCAGGAGCCAGGUGCUUCUCCAGGUCUUCCAUACAGGUGCAGGGAACAAGGAAUUGGGCCAUCCUCCACUGCACUCCCAGGCCACCGCAGAGAGCUGGACUGAAAGAGGAGCAACUGAGACAGAAUCUGGCGCCCUGACCGGUACUAGAACCCCAGGUUGCUGGCGCCACAGGCGAAGGAUUGAGCUGCAGCGCUGGCCCGACUUACUUUGUUUCAAAAAGUUCUAUUGGCUGGAAUGGAAAACAUGACAAGGGCAAGAAGAAAAUACAUCCAGGACAUUGAGAGGAGUAUGUAUGAGAAAUAUCCCAAGACAGCUGGUUUCAAUGUCUCCUGUUCCACUCAGAGUGCUAGAGAUUCUACACACGAUACUUUCUGGAUUACAGUAGCCCUGCUGAAGUCUGGGACUCCACUGAGGACGAUUCACAGAGGCAUUUCAAGGUCUGACACAAGAGGUUAAGCAGUCAGGAGUGAAGAAACUCAGAAGGAAAGCAUCUUUUUCUCACAGAGACUACUUUAUAGUACGGUAAGAUAGAAAAUAAUAAGUAAUAUGUAACAGCAAUACACUGAGUAUCAUCUAGUAUUAGAACAAUAGAAAAAACUAGAGGUGGAAAGGGAGAGUAUAAGGUUUGGAGGUUUCAAAAAGAAUUAUCAUGGAAGAGCUCACGAGAAGGAAAUAUUUAUUUUUGAGAAGACCUAAGCAACGAGCCUACAUAUCAUUCUCCAAAAUGAUUGCAGUCAUUUACAUUCCCAACAGUAUUGUAAAAUAGUUCUCUUU